rnacentral:tRNA from 1 species
GCGUUCGUGGUCCAAGUCAAGACGCCCACCAAGUGGGAAAUGCAGGUGCAAGCCCUGCCGGGCGCUCCA